AUCCUUGUAGCUUAGUGGAAAGCGUGACACUGAAGAUGUCAAGACAGGCCUAGCCUCAAGGAUA
rnacentral:tRNA from 1 species